rnacentral:rRNA from 1 species
AUUGAACGCUGGCGGCAGGCCUAACACAUGCAAGUCGAGCGGAUGAAGGGAGCUUGCUCCUGGAUUCAGCGGCGGACGGGUGAGUAAUGCCUAGGAAUCUGCCUGGUAGUGGGGGAUAACGUCCGGAAACGGGCGCUAAUACCGCAUACGUCCUGAUGGAGAAAGUGGGGGAUCUUCGGACCUCACGCUAUCAGAUGAGCCUAGGUCGGAUUAGCUAGUUGGUGGGGUAAAGGCCUACCAAGGCGACGAUCCGUAACUGGUCUGAGAGGAUGAUCAGUCACACUGGAACUGAGACACGGUCCAGACUCCUACGGGAGGCAGCAGUGGGGAAUAUUGGACAAUGGGCGAAAGCCUGAUCCAGCCAUGCCGCGUGUGUGAAGAAGGUCUUCGGAUUGUAAAGAACUUUAAGUUGGGAGGAAGGGCAGUAAGUUAAUACCUUGCUGUUUUGACGUUACCAACAGAAUAAGCACCGGCUAACUUCGUG